CAUGGACUCCCUGAAAUAGCAUGAAAACUCCCUCUUUUCGAGCUUAGACGCGGAACUGGGCACUAGCCCACUAGCUGGGCUCCAGCGCAGAGCAGGACGGGCGAAGACACUGCUUUCACGCAAUUCACUUUCUAACGAUGGGGGCAGAUUACUAGGAAACAAGGUUAAUUUCUCAUAGUGACCUGUUUUAUGAGGGCAGCAAAACACUAAGGAGGUAGAAAGCGAUGGAUGGGGUAUGGGACAGAGGUGAGAAGGAGCCAACAACACAAUGGACGGAUCGGGCAGGCGAAGGACAGGUUGUCAGUUCCAUGAGGAUGGAAGCCAUUGUUUUCCCAGGGCCCGGUGCUAGCCCUGGACACAGCAAGUGCUUGAAUAUGUAUUGAAUGUGUGAAGUGGGAAGACAAGCUUAAAUCCUCGGUUGGGCAUGUGAACCUCUCUGGGCCUCAUUUUCUUCUGUUUAUAAAACAUUGAAGAUAAUACCCCUUCA